rnacentral:rRNA from 1 species
UACGUAGGGCGCAAGCGUUUAUCCGGAAUUAUUGGGCGUAAAGAGCUCGUAGGCGGUUUGUCGCGUCUGCCGUGAAAGUCCGGGGGCUCAACUCCGGAUCUGCGGUGGGUACGGGGCAGACUAGAGUGAUGUAGGGGGAGACUGGAAUUCCUGGUGUAGCGGUGAAAAUGCGCAGAUGUCAGGAGGAACACCGAUGGCGA